ensembl:lncRNA
GAAUAGAAUCAAUGAAACUUAACUUCUACUGAAAAUAUCAUUGACCAAGGGACAGAGCGGUCUGUGAAAAGCGCAAUUUUGAUGCACAUGCAUAAGCACACACACAUAGAUACAAAGAGUUUUAAAUAGUGCUUCUGAGAACAUCCUGAACUCAAACUGGCCUAAGUAGCCCCCAAAAGCCCCAAAGGGACCUGUAUCGGUGAUGACCAAUUAGCCCAGCACGUAUUUUUUCUUCAUUAUCUUUUUUAAGUAGUGGAAAUCAGAUUUUUAAAAUUUGCCUCCUUGAGCUAAUUUCCAUUAUGUACCAAGAAAGGAUUUGCUGGCCAAAGUUGUCGUUUUAUCUUUGUUAUGUUAUGGUUUGGUUUCUUUCUUUCUUUUUCUUUUUUUUUUUUUUUUUUUUUUUUUUUUUUUUUUUUUUUUUUUUUUGGCUAUAAUUGGGCAUGUGGAUUUCCUGGCCCAGGGAGCAAACCUGAUCCACAGCAGUGACAGUGCUGAAUCCUUAACCACUUGGCUGCCAGGGAACUCCUAGCCAAAGUUUCGUAGUGUGACAUGCUUGAGUGUUAUAUAAUGUAUAGGCUGCCUUGCUUUUUUCCAUUAAAAAAAGUAAAUUGCCUGUAUAGAAGAAAUUAAGGCAUUUCCCCCCCUUAUAUCCUGACACACUUCUAGGCUGGCUACAGAGGACGAACAAAUCCUGUUUGUCAUUCAUCACUCUGACUAAUUGUUUGAAAGUCUGGGUAGGGAGUUUGAGUCUGGAAAGAGCACCCCAUAGACGAUCAGAGGGGCCUUGGACUUGUGUGUGUGUGUCAUUGUGCUUUAGACCAGUGCUGUCCACAGGACUUUAGGGAUGAUGGAAGUGUCUGUCUUUGCCGUCUCUAAGGUGCUAGCAUGUGGUUACCGAGCACUUGAAGUGUUAGUGCAACUGAGACGCUGGAUUUUUCAUCUCAUUUCCUUUGAACUUCUUCACGUUUAAAUGUAAAUAGCUACACGUGACUAGUGGCUACCGUAUUGCGCAGUGCAUUUUUAGAAAGGUGGCCUGAAGCCUGAGUAAUGCCCCAGAAAGGUGGCCUCCCCUUAGGCCCUCCCCACCUUCUCUGCCCUCCUUGUGCAGGUCACAGUCUGAUUGCCUUUGGCUGUGACAUUGGUUCUCUUCCCCAAGGGAGAUAUAUUCUAUUUAGGUUUUUACCUAGAUAUUUUGGGUGUAUGUUAGGCAGGCAGAUUGUGUUUCCCCCUUGUCACACUUGGUGGGUGUUAGAAGUCCAGAUGAUCAUUGAGAUUUAGGAAACGCGGAAGGAGAUCCGUCUGAUGCUGCACCUGCUCCCCGAUACACCUCAUCCUACUCCACUUAACAGCACUGGGACUUGGUGCUCUCCAGCCCCCGGCAAAUGAAAGCUUAACACAUGCAAAUCCAGAAAACGCCUUUUCCAGUUGAUGGAUCUUAGGGCACGUUUGCAUCAUGGAAGCCACAGCAACGGGGAGACCAAAGGCUUAAGGAAUUGCAGGUCUAGGAGGACAAGUUUAAAGGCAAAAUCAAAGUUGAAAACAUCCCCCUCCUCAUUGGCUGACACAGAAUGCAUGCAAUUUAGCAUGUGUCAUUUAAUGUGGUUCAUUUGCUUUGAAGUAUUGUCACUCUUAUUUAAAAACAAAACCUCAUUACUACAAAGUAAUGGGACUGGCUUUUAUGCAAUCACGUAAGAACCGAGGCAUCAGAAUGCCUUUUCCGGAGNNNNNNNNNNNNNNNNNNNNNNNNNNNNNNNNNNNNNNNNNNNNNNNNNNNNNNNNNNGAGGGUGUGGGUUUGAUCCCUGGCCUCUCUCAGUGGAUUAAGGAUUGGGCGUUGCCAUAAGCUGAGCUGCAGGUCACAGAUGUGGCCCGAUCUGGCGUUGCUGUGGCUGUGGCAUAGGCUGCCAGGGGCUAUCUUCUGAGCCCACGGUAAACACAUCCUUUUGAGUAUUCUUCAGAGAUGGUAAAUCAGCCUCCUUAUGUGUGUGAUGGUGGAUUCUAGUAGUAGGUGAUUCUAAGGAUUAUAGGUAAUCACAAAUAGGUUGAACUUCUUCUUCUUCUUUUUUUUUGAAACAGUUAGAAUUCACUCAGAAUUGCUCAGGGGAAGAAAAGCUGGAUGGUAAAACUGGGCAGCACAACUUUGGCCAAAACCUGGUUCUUUCCAUCAUGUCACUUAAUCCUCCCGGCAACCACGUAGCUUAAGUGCCAAGGUGGAGGGAAGCACCCCUGUCUUGGGUGCUGAGCAAAGGGACCUGAGUGCUGAUGGUGCCGUGGUGCCAGCAUAGGGGUCCCUCUGGGUGAAAAGGCAUUAAGGGCCAUGCUGCUCCUCUGUGCCCCCUUCUCGAUGGCAGGGAGGGCCCGGCACCAAGGAAAGAAGCCCGCCCGUAACCUGCCUUUUCUCUUGCUUCUCUCCCGGACUCACGCUGUUGGACUGCCUGUGUCCUGCUGCCACAGGGCAAGCCUCUGGCGGUCAGUCACCUCUCUUCAGCCCCUGUCCUUCAUGGGGUUGGGAGGGGCAGAGCAGACCCUGGGAUGUGGCUUUGGGUUGGGAUAGGAGGAUAGGAUAGGAUGGAACGGGACACCAGCCUUGACCACACGAUGCAGCGCAUUGCAUCAGACCUGUCCUCAUUGAGUUCGGAGGCCUAGGUAGCGCUUACAGUAAAGGGUUCCCUUGUCUCCCUGUCUCAGAUGCUCGUGCAGGCAUCUUCCUCAGAAAGAGGGAGAGGCGAGCCUGUUUUCCCGCAAGAGCCCUCUAGUCCUGCCAUCAUUUCUAGUGUCAUUAUCUUCCCCCUCCUUAUAGAAGUGGGAACUUGAUACUCAGGAAGGCCAGGAGGCUUGCCCCAGAUCUCACCUGGAACGUUGUGAACUGGGAGGAGGAGAAGGUCCCCUGGCAGGGGACAGUGGCGUGCUGGAGCUGGCCGCCCUCGGCUCCCGAAGACCAGCAGCGCUCACCAUUGCCAGCUUUGUGUCCUGUGAUAUCAUGCUGACGUCUUGAAAUGCGCCACGAUGUGAGCCUUUACACCGUGGAAAUUGACACAUGCUGCAAAUCGGAGCGUCCUCCCGCCACUCUAGAGCUGGUUAUUAAACCUUGACCAGGGCGCCGCGGGGUCUAUAUGACUUCACAUCCAAAUUCUUUUCACUGUUUUAUGGUUCUUUAGAAUCAACAACACUGUUGCCUUGAAAGAGUGGAGUGUCUGUAGGUUGGCUUAUUUGAAUUCCGUGUACUACUCUACGACUGGGGUUUGCCCCAGAGGGGGCUGGGUUGCUGGGUUGGGUACCCGACCGGCCACCCGAAGGAGAAGCACUUUGGUGCUGACUGUCCUUCCACACUCAGCCUCUCUGGGUCCAUAUAUGUUUGCUGCCCACAAAAGGGCUGAGGUGCAUGUGGACACUCCUUGCCCUGUGUUCCAGGAAUGGAGGGUGAGGGGCAGUUAUUUGUGCUCAGCUCACUCAGGUUAAAUGCGUGGGUGGACAUAAGGCACAGAGGGAGUACGGGAAGUGUGGCAACUGGUACAUGUUCACGUGCAGAGCUGGAUCACUGCUUAAAUAGCUUUGGUCAAAUCACUUAACAUUUAUUUAGUUUCCUCUCAUCUGAAAUGUGAAAUCGUCUCAAAAUAAAGAAUUAGAGAUAGCACCUGAAUCAAAAAAUAUCUUGCACAACGGUUUUAUUACAGUGCCUAGUAAAUGCUCAAUGAACAGUGACUUUUAAAUGUGGGUUUGUAACAAACUUAGUUCUACUGAGGUUGAUGGUUAAAUUCUUCUGUAUCCCAGUAAGUUAUAAUGUCUCUAAGUUUUUCUUUUCUUCCAAUUAAAAACCCACUACCGACAUGGACCACAUCUGAGGAAAAUUUCUAGCUUAGGCGUUCAUGUUUUUUGUACUGGUUGGCAGUGACGUGGGAAAGACAAGUGCCUCUGAAGUUCAGCUCAAAUUCCAGGUCUGCUUCGUUAAGCUUAUGCUCUUUGAUUUCCUAAAUUUUAGUUUCCGCCCAUGUCAAAUGGGAAUAAAAAAUCCCCUCUUCAUAAGCUGUUAGGAUUAACUGAAAUGUUCAUGCAUGUAUUCAGCACAUUUUUUUUUUUGACAUAUAGGUUCGUGCAAUGAAUGUUAGUAGCUUUUUUUUUUCACGAUUACUGUAAAAGGUUUUCAAAAGUCUGAUGUAGUGAUGCACAUAUUUAGAGAUAAGCAUCUUUCAGAGUCAGCCAGGGAGACCUUCCUACCCUGAGAAUUUGGGAAUGGUGCAGGCUAGCCGGGGUGAAGGAAGACCUAAGCUCCUGACCUAAUUUCCAAGAUGGUUUACGUGCAGUCAUUGAAUAAAGAAAGAAAAGCAAGUUUGACUCCAUGUGCUCUAGACAAGGGCUGAGAUCAACAACAUAAGAAUCUGGGAUCAUUUGUUACUAUCGCUUUGGGUUUGGGGGCUGGUGUGGUACUUGGGCUUGAUUCUGUGUCUGAGGCUUCCUAGAAGCUGCGAUGGAUGCUGAAGGGAGGUGUGACAAUUCGACAUGGAUCAAGGUAAUUCAAAGCCAGUCUUUCACAGAAAGCUAAGCAGUAGAGAGCAGCUUUCUUUAGCUGAUUUCGGUGUGGGACUAUGUAUCUGCUUUUAAUUUAAUAAAAACGCCCAUGAGGACAAAUGCUGCACUGCCAAUUUUCUAGCCUCUUUGAAGCAUUCCCUAAAUGUUAAGAGACUGAGAAAUUAGACCUAAAGGCUUACACAAUGAAUAAUUUGGUUGGAAGUUUCUGCCCAUUUCUGUCAAUCAGAUCUGCUUUCCCUGGGCCCCUCUGUGUCCCCACACGAAUGACAGAUUUAUCCGGAUUCUUACUGGACAGUGUCAGAUAGGGAAGUGUGGGUAACCUUUCACGGAGGCCCCAAACUCUUCCUAAAAAUGUAAUGCUAUUGAAAGAUUGCAGAGACCCCAGUCUGAUCAAGACUCCGCAACUAUUCUAUUGUGAAUUAUGUGUCAAUGUUUUCCCAUAAACUAAAGGUUCUGAGCACUAGAUCAAUGGUGCACCCCUUUCAGAUUUUGAUCAAAGAUACAGUUUUUCUCCGUAACAAACAUAUAUACGCACGCAUGUAAUUACAAGGGUUUGCAGAGUCCAGGCUUAGAAACCUGGGUAAAAUUAUUGCAAGCAUUUCUAUUAAUUCUGGGCCCCAGAACACAUGAGUUUUCUUAGGAAAAAUUUAAUGAUUUUUUUUUUCAUUUCCUCUGAGCGAGACAACCAAAUGAUAGAAAAUUAAUUGUAUUUCCUUGUUCUCACAUAUUGCAAAAUCUAUUCCAAUGGAUGUUUGCUUCCGUUUCUCAAUAUUUUCAUGGAAAUUAUGACCGCCACAUAAUGAAGCACUGCACAUUCUAAUGGUGUUGUAACUCUUGCCUUCUGAAACAGUGAAUUUUCAGCCAGAGGGUAGUGGGGCUGGCAUACUGCAGAGUUUUGCCGUGUCCACGCAAAUAAAUGGUACGCAACUU